rnacentral:rRNA from 1 species
GAGUUUGAUCUUGGCUCAGAUUGAACGCUGGCGGCAUGCCUUACACAUGCAAGUCGAACGGCAGCACGGGAGCUUGCUCCUGGUGGCGAGUGGCGAACGGGUGAGUAAUGCAUCGGAACGUAUCCUGGAGUGGGGGGAUAACGUAGCGAAAGUUACGCUAAUACCGCAUAUUCUGUGAGCAGGAAAGCGGGGGACCUUCGGGCCUCGCGCUCUUGGAGCGGCCGAUGUCGGAUUAGCUAGUUGGUGAGGUAAAGGCUCACCAAGGCGACGAUCCGUAGCAGGUCUGAGAGGAUGAUCUGCCACACUGGAACUGAGACACGGUCCAGACUCCUACGGGAGGCAGCAGUGGGAAUUUUGGACAAUGGGGGCAACCCUGAUCCAGCCAUGCCGCGUGAGUGAAGAAGGCCUCGGUU